GAUGAACGCUGGCGGCGUGCUUAACACAUGCAAGUCGAACGUGAAGGUGCAGCAAUGUACCUGAAAGUGGCGAACGGGUGAGUAACACGUAGAUAACCUAUCCUGAUGUGGGGGAUAACGACGGGAAACUGUCGCUAAUACCGCAUGUGCUUGAUGGCCUGGGAAUGUCGUCAAGGAAAGAUUUAUUGCAUUAGGAGGGGUCUGCGUCCGAUUAGCUAGAUGGCGAGGUAAUGGCUCACCAUGGCGAUGAUCGGUAGCUGGUCUGAGAGGAUGGUCAGCCACACGGGAACUGAGAUACGGUCCCGACUCCUACGGGGGGCAGCAGUGAGGAAUAUUGCACAAUGGGGGAAACCCUGAUGCAGCAACGCCGCGUGGAGGAAGAAGGCCUUCGGGUUGUAAACUCCUUUUCCAGGGGACGAGAGAGGACAGUACCCUGGGAAUAAGUCACGGCUAACUACGUG
rnacentral:rRNA from 1 species